CGCGUCGAAAACAUGCUGGGAAGGCCGCAUCAGAUUUCCCGGCUCAAUAGACUCGAUGCUUUACUUGUGAAUAUUAGAUUCUUUUCGCAUUUGGGUUUCAAAAGCAAGGCAAUUCAUUUAUGAUCUCAAGUGGAUGGGCCAUUUGGAUUUUCUGAAAAUGACCAUCAAACUAUUAAAAUUGGCAAUAAAUUAUCUAAACCACGAUAGAGAAUGCUGAACCAAUAUGAACCCUCAGAAAAAAUACAUACAUUAAAGUAAUUGCAAUGGACACGACAUCGAGAGAGAAUUUUCCUAUUUGAAAGUGUAAUUUCAGAGGAAAUGAACUCUUAAACUCUUCCUGUGAAUUAUUUGCAGAAUACCAUUUACCAUUCCACCUCAAGCAUUUUUUUGUAAGUACAUUUGGGCACAUUAUUUGAUGGGAAGGUGAGUAAUUGCAAAAGUUCAGGGUGAUGAAAAUGUGUUUUCCAUACUGGAGGAAACUUGUAAGAGUGAGUAUUCACUUCCAUGCAUUCUUCAUGAGACUACAGUCAAUCAACCCAAUCAACGAUGACCAAGAAAUGCGACAAAUAAACAGACGAUUAGAGACACGCAGAGCAAUAGAGAAAAUCGAAGUGCACAAAUUCAUUGACUUCCACCGACUCUUUAUGAAGAUUGUAAAAAGUGCUUCGCUCGUUUAUGAAGGAAUUUCCUAUUAUGGUGAUUGGUUUUUGGUAAAUAUCAAUCAUUUUCAUCGAAUAUUUUCCAAAAUUAAUGAUCAGAUCAACGGCAAUAAUGGUACAUGUUUUAGAUGAGUUUAAGGUAAACAAUCUUUUGAAAUUCAAACAGACUUGGUGAAUUUUAUCAUCAAAGAUUUAAUUGAAUUGUCUGUAGUCUUACCCUAAAUUGUCUUUUACCGCGAGCUCUUUAAUUAUUAACACCAGAGUCACGGCAUAACAAAAGAAUCACGAAAAAACUGUUUAUGUGGGUAGUUUUGGGUAGUUCUCGCUAGUAAUGUUGUCAAACAUUUUACUACCAGUUGACACUUUCGUGGGGAUAAUCAGUGUCUCACUAUCUCUCCGAAUUAAGUUGGUAGAAGAAUUAGGAAUUUUUAGACAGUAAAUCACUUGAAACCAGACAUUCCUAGCAUAAACAUCUUCCGUAGCUCUGCCCACCGUGAGAUAUACAGAAUAAUAAGUCAACAGAUUUGCAGAGUGAAUCUAAAAUUAAAGUCAUUAAAUCAAACAUUCAUUGUUGAAAGUUCCCCAACUCUUUUGCCCCCAGUGUGAUAAUAAAAAAUUCAACAGCAAAGCGUAGCGCUCACGAGUUCAAUUGUACAACCAUGUCUACUUUAUACGAUCAGUCGAGAAUUGCCCGCGAAGAGAGUAGCAUCCCAGUGAAGCAGAGCUUGAGGAAGGAUGCCCAAUCUCUAACGUACUCCUUCAGUGAGACUUCCAAGCAUAAUUUCCCAGUGAAUACCCAAAAUUUCAUCAAAAUGCACACUCCAAUAUCCUCCAUCGCAGGCUUCAUUGCAAUUCUCGUGGUGCAAAUAAUAUUCGGAAUUGUUUUUGGUGCCUUCUCGGAGUAUGGCAAGGAAAUCCUUCCCCAUAAGGAUGGGGAACCCGCUUUGCCCACAAACCUGGGAAGCUAUCCACACUUUCAAGACAUUCAUGUAAUGAUCUUCAUUGGUUUUGGAUUCCUGAUGACCUUCCUCAAAAAAUACGGAUACAGUGCGACGGGAUUCAAUCUUCUGGUGGCAUCACUGAUGGUGCAAUGGGCCCUUAUUGCCCGAGGCUGCUUCGAAAUGGAAGAUGGAAAAAUAAGGCUCACUCUAGGAGGAAUGAUUGGAGCUGACAUAGCCGCUGCCACUGUUCUCAUUUCCAUGGGAGCACUCUUGGGCAGAACAACCCCUAUUCAACUUUUGGUGAUGGGCCUCUUCGAAAUAGCUGUCUUUGCGGCCAACGAGUAUCUCCAGCUUGAGUACAUGAAGAUUGCUGACGUUGGAGGAUCAAUCACGGUACAUGCUUUUGGUGCUUACUUCGGUUUAGCCGUGAGUUUCAUCCUACGUCCCAAGAAGAGUGAUCUCGCGAUCACCAAUAACCUCGAAGGUCCGUCUUACACAUCAGACAUCUUCGCCAUGGUUGGAACGAUCUUCCUCUGGAUUUUCUGGCCUAGCUUCAAUUCGGCUCUGGUGGCAGGAGCUGAUCAAGAGAGAGCGAUCUUGAACACUUAUCUGGGAUUAGCGGCUGCCACGGUGGUCAGCUUUGUCUUAUCCGUUCUGGUCAGUCACGAGCACAAGCUGGAUAUGGUUCACGUGCAAAACUCUACUCUGGCAGGAGGAGUGGCUGUGGGAUCAGUUUGCAAUCUGCUAAUUCAUCCAUACGGAGCAGUUCUCAUCGGUUCCUUGGCAGGAUUGAUUUCAGUUCUUGGAUACCGAUAUUUGUCGCCAGGAAUGCUUAACAAACUACGCCUGGAUGACACUUGUGGUGUUCAUAAUCUUCACGGAAUGCCCGCCGUACUAUCAGCAAUCUUCUCAGCAAUCUUUGCGGCUGCAGCUACAACCACUGAGUAUGGUGACUCACUUUACAACAUAUUCCCAGCCAUGCAAUCGCGAAAUUCAACUGAUUUGAUGGAAGAUGGACAUCACUCAGAGCCGACUCCAUUCGGGGGAUACGGACGUAGUGCAGUUGAACAGGCAGGAUAUCAACUUCUGGGAAUCCUCUCCACUGUUGCAAUCGCGAUCGUCGGCGGACUACUCACAGGCGUAUUCUUGCGAUCUCCGAGCGUUCGCAUAAUUCCCAGAGACAAGCAACACGACGAUGAAGAUUCAUGGGAGGUUCCAGCCCCAUAGAAACAACACUAAAAUGUUCUACUCCCAAUGUUACAUAACGCUUCUCAAUGAAAAUUUCGAAUCUAAUUUACAAUACAUCGCCAAAUCCAUAUAUUUACUUUUGGUGUUAAAACUAUUUCUCAUAUUGUGAAAAUUCAUCUACGAGACGUUCAAUUUGUCUGUGUUUAUUUCACUCAUUAGCAUUGUCUAUUAUAAAUUAACCACCGUUGAAAAUCUGAGUUUCCUUAUGAUAUAUAUAUUCACCAAUUUAUUCCGCAGCAUACUAUUCCCAAAGUGUCUCUGUGUAACUUUCUGUUUUGUCAAAAAUUUACUUGAUGAUAGAGAAAAUAAAGUCUCUGAAGUUAAUGUAUAUGGAAAGGUUGAACUUGGGACUCUGCCGAAAAUAUUUGUUGAUGAUCUGUUAGGCGGAUUGGGAGGAAAAAGGCAAGAAAAAACCAACCAUUGUCCCUUCUUAUCAAGGGAAAAAUAUCGAAUGGCUCAUCACUUUUUCUACGCUUAUUUGCACUUCUCAACCAUUGUCCACACUGAUACAAAAUCUUUAUUGAUUUGAGCACAGUAUAGGAGGAAACAAUUCAAGAGUCAACAUAAGAUUAUUGCUCGGGCUUUAUUGUUCCAAUGUAUCUCGAAGAAAUGUGUUAGAAGAGCAGUAAUGUAACUAACCAUGUGAAAUCUUAAAAUUAUAUAAUAAUUUCUGAGUAUAUAAGACACUAUACUAAACAUUAUAAAAGCGCUCAAAAAAUAUUGCACAUCAAUUUAGUUGUCUCACAACCUAUAUGAAGGUUUUAAUUCUUCACUUCCGCCCAUUUAUUCUACCAAACUAAAACCAUUAAGUACACCAUCAGAAGAUAUUUUAUAGAAAAUUGAUAAGAGCAUCAAAUUAAAGUGAAAUCGGACAUGGUCAAUUGUAAAAAUUCAGUUGAAAACUUCCUCGGGCAUCCGUCACUAAGAAAUAUUUUCAGUUCUGUAGAUAUAAUGAAUGAAUUGAGAAAGAGAAGAACCCAAAUCAGGGACCACGGCCAGGGCAACGAAUUAAGGAGGGGUCACUCACGGCAUCAACAAUCCGACCAGGAAGCUGUCGAUGGUGACAAUAAAAUAUUGGCGCACAACAACAAAAGGAUCGAUUGAAAACGGACCACACCAAAUCCCAUUUUGGGAAAAUUCGGACCAAAUCCUCUGCAUGCAUGAAAGAGACAGUGAUGGUGAA